rnacentral:lncRNA from 1 species
CUCAGCAAUGAUGCUCUGGCACAGGGAUGUCUCUGCUGACAGAGGGGAGCACGCAGGGCACACUUUGAGUUCUUGGUAUGGUGUAGGCUUUCAGAGAAGAUACUCAGCAAAUAAGGCUAUUUUUCAUUAAAGCUGUAUUCAAAAAGGCCCAUUAAUGUCACCAUGCUACUUGUGGAUAUACGGAUAGUGGUUUUGAAAACCUGGGCUUCCUCUGCACUAAAUGAACUGCAAGCCUCCAGAGACAAACUGGAAGAUCCAUGUCAUGUUGUCCUUUAAGUCUUGAAAACAGUCCCUGGAAAUGGAGUACUACUAUUCAUCAUUCACAUUUCAGCCCCUGGCCCGACUGUGCAUCUCACUCCUCCAGGCUUCUCCUGCCGUGAAACCAGUCUGACCACCAGUUUUGGAGAGGAAAUGUUUUAUAGCUGCCUGGAACGCACCGAGAGACCUGUGCUCCCUUCAGGGUAGUGCUGAACCUGAAAAUGUUCCGUGUAACUGGGAGCCCAUUAACUAAAGCAAGAGGGCAGAACGUGACCAUAUUUUAUUUUAAUAAGCUUGGCUAUUAUCCUCAGUACACAUUACAGGAAAUCCCUGUUAGUGGCGGCUGAUCACAGAACUUCAGUUUGCAAACUCAUCUGGAGAAAGGCAGCUGUGACAUUAACUAUUCCACCCCAGCUAAGGACUUCCAUGGAUUAGCAGCCAUAGACUGGGAAUACUGGAGCCCUCAGUGGGACUGCGACUGGGAUGCAAAAGAUGUUUACAGGAGAAAGGCCAGGAAACUCAUUUCUCAAAUGGAAGGGAUUUUUUUCAGCAGCUGCUGUUGAACAUUAAGUCAGAUUUUCCUUAAAAAAAAGUGCAAAAGCUUUUAUGAAGGAAACAGUUGCAUUAGGAAUGAAAAGCAGAACAAGGGGCCUGCAGGGAUGCUGUUUAACCCUGACUGCCACAAUUGCAAUUUCUGUGUUAAGAAGUGCUCUGGUUCCUGCCUAAAGAGUGAAGUUUUGGGGAACAAUGAACUUCCCUGGCUCUGGGAUGGUGCUGCAGCCCUAUUUAUGUCUGAAGCCCCAACGUGUCCUGAAGCCUUCAGACAGCCACAUUUUUUGUCAGGAGAAAAGACUUUGUCCUCAGAGCUGUGUGAAGUGGGUGUUCUGGGCCACUUUUCUCCUGGCAGAUAGUAAAGAAAACCCAGCCAUUUUCAGAAUAAAUGGCUGAAGGUAAGUGUUCA